GUCGGGGGGUGUUGUCGUGCUGCUCAGCACAGCUUUCGUUCCUCUGUACUCGGCGGAGUUUUUAUGCGUUGCCCUCAGGGCUUCCUCUGGCGGAAAAGAACAAGACGAAAUAAGACACUAGGGAAGCUAAUGUGAGACACUAGUGCCCAAAUCACUUUAGACACGACUGAUAUGGCUGAUGAGGUAAGACAUCUGCAAAAGUAACCUCCUAUGUCUCUCAUGGAGGAAUGCUGCCAUAGAAAGACAGCCCAGGUGGUACCGUGUCUGCAGACUGCUCCAG
rnacentral:lncRNA from 1 species